UUCCUUAACCACUGGUAUACAAUUACUCUUAAUAAGGCAUUUGUGCUAUUCCAUUGUAGGAAAUAAAUGAUCACACAAUUAAACACAUCUUCUUAGCCAAACAGAAAGUCACAGAUAUGUUAUAAAAAGAA
rnacentral:snoRNA from 1 species